rnacentral:lncRNA from 1 species
GUCUGUUUCAACAUGGGACACAUCACUUUAGCCAAAAAAUUGGCUAGGAAAGCCCGUCGGCUGCUGAAAAGGAAUUUCCCUUGGACCCGGUUUGGUGUCCUUUUCCAGACAUUCCUGGAAAAGUAUUGGUAUCCCUGUACCCUGAGCCAACCUCCAAACAACCCUAGUGAGAAGUGAGAAGGCUUCCUAAGACUGUAGUUAACUAGCCUGAGCUUUGCCUUUUUGACCUAAAACUACUUUUUUCUAUCAAAUAAUCUUUAAGCAUCUAACAGACAAGCAGAUAACAAGAUAUAUAACAGUCAGCAUACAUAUAUAUAUAUAUAUGUAUAUAUUCCACCUUACUCCCCCAGCCAAUUACAUGUAGCACAUAGGGAUUUAAAGAAUGAAUCUUUUUUUGAAACCUCUCUCUGAACUUUUCCUGAUCAAGAGGGAUUAAUUAAAAUGGCAUAUGAGGUUAGGAGUAGUGGGAAACAAGGACUAUUUCUGAAUUUGGACAUCUGUAGAUGGCCCCAUGAUGAGUAGACUUGGAGCUCUUGUAGGGAGGGAACUUUGGGCAUUAGUAAAGAAUAAGGGCAUGCUAACCACCCUGUGCCUUGCAACAGUAAGAAGAAUUUGGCAGUUCUGCAGCAGCAGGUGCAUUGCCUCUCCCUACUCUGGCAGCUCUAUAACCUGGAGGCCACAGCCAGUAGCUACAGGUUUGCCUGCCUGGCUACUCUUAUGCAGAAGAAUUCAGCUGAGGAGUUUGCAAAUGAAGCCCAGGUUGUCUCUACCUAUGUGGAGCUCUCUCAGUUCUCCCAGAGCAUGGGCAUCAAGGACAAGUGGCUGCACUGUGAGCAGAUGGCCAUUCAGAAAAGCAGUUUAUGUUGGUUCUCCAGGGAGGGAUUGUUGGCCACAGCUCAGGUCAUGCAGGCCCUGGCCUACACCAAGCUCUGCCUUGGCCAUCUUGACUUCUCCAUCAAGCUGGGUAAAGGGACUUAGGGAUGGUGGGUCUAGGGCUUUUAGAGAGUACAUGUUCACAGCUGGAUCUCACACAGUGCUCUUGAACCUCCUCAGGUUUUCAAGCUCGUGA